rnacentral:misc_RNA from 1 species
GUGCACUCGCUCUUUGUCUUCGCCUCAUCGCCAUUCAAAUACAAAUUCGCCUGAAAAUUAUUUUCUCUAGACACACGCCCCUCCUUUUCUCUUUCUUAAUCUCCUUAUUACCACCACUAGUUCAUUUCCUUCUCCAGAUUCUUCCCCUUCACUAUCUCCCAUCCCUCUCACUUUGCCCUUCAAUUCUGUUUUUUUCCAGGUAAAAAUACGAGCUUUGUCUCUGUUAGUUCUUGCAUUUCCAAAGCAUUCCUUUCUGUUUCCAGCGUUUUUAACAAUAUCAAAUUUAUAGCAGUUGUGGAGCUCUUGUUUCCAGCUAAGGUAGGUGAAGUUUGUGAUUCUUGGUGGAAAUGGCCUCUGGAACUGUACCGGCUUCUUUUACUGGUCUGAAGACCAGGGACUCCAACUUAGGGUUUGGAAAAAGCAUGGAUUUUGUGAGAGUUUGUGAUUUGAAGAGGAUCAAGUCUGGCAGGAGGAAGAUUUCGAUGAUUCGGAGCUCGAUUCCGGGUCCCGAGAUGGUUGAACUUCAGCCAUCAUCAGAAGGGAGCCCUUUGUUAGUUCCUAGACAGAAGUAUUGUGAGUCUGUGCACAAGACUGUCAGGAGGAAAACACGAACGGUAAUGGUGGGAAAUGUGGCUCUUGGUAGUGAUCAUCCUAUCAGGGUUCAAACUAUGACCACAAAUGACACUAAGGAUGUUGCUGGGACAGUUGAAGAGGUAAUGAGAAUAGCAGACAAGGGGGCAGAUUUGGUUCGGAUAACAGUUCAAGGGAAAAGAGAAGCGGAUGCUUGCUUUGAAAUAAAAAAUUCUCUUGUGCAGAAAAAUUAUAAUAUACCUCUGGUCGCAGAUAUUCAUUUUGCUCCAGCUGUUGCGUUGCGAGUAGCUGAAUGCUUUGACAAAAUUCGUGUCAAUCCAGGAAAUUUUGCUGAUAGGCGAGCUCAGUUUGAGAAGCUAGAGUACACAGAUGAGGACUAUCAGAAAGAAAUUGAACAUAUUGAGAAGGUUUUUACCCCAUUGGUUGAAAAAUGUAAGAAGUAUGGAAGGGCAAUGCGGAUUGGGACAAACCAUGGGAGUCUUUCAGAUCGUAUAAUGAGCUACUAUGGAGAUUCACCUAGGGGAAUGGUUGAAUCUGCAUUUGAGUUUGCAAGAAUAUGCCGAAAGUUGGACUUCCAUAAUUUUGUGUUUUCAAUGAAAGCAAGUAACCCAGUCAUCAUGGUCCAGGCAUAUCGUCUGCUUGUAGCAGAAAUGUAUGUUCAGGGCUGGGAUUAUCCAUUACAUUUGGGUGUCACUGAAGCUGGAGAAGGAGAAGAUGGACGCAUGAAAUCUGCAAUUGGCAUUGGGACUCUUCUUCAGGAUGGUUUGGGUGAUACAAUCAGGGUGUCACUUACAGAACCACCAGAGAAGGAGAUAGAUCCUUGCAGAAGGUUAGCCAACCUUGGUAUGCGAGCAUCUGCAGUUCAACAGGGAGUGGCACCAUUUGAAGAAAAGCACAGACAUUAUUUUGAUUUCCAGCGCCGAUCUGGUCAAUUGCCAGUACAAAAGGAGGGUGAAGAGGUGGAUUAUAGAGGUGUCCUGCACCGUGAUGGUUCUGUUCUCAUGUCAGUUUCCUUAGAUCAAUUAAAGGCACCUGAACUCCUAUACAAGUCACUAGCAGCAAAGCUUGUUGUUGGAAUGCCUUUUAAGGACUUGGCAACAGUUGACUCAAUCCUAUUGAGAGAGCUUCCGCCUGUGGAGGAUAAUGAUGCUCGGCUAGCACUAAAAAGACUGAUAGAUAUUAGCAUGGGAGUUAUUACUCCUUUGUCAGAGCAGCUGACAAAGCCAUUACCCAAUGCCAUGGUUCUUGUAAAUUUUAAGGAGUUAUCAACUGGUGCUCACAAGCUUUUGCCAGAAGGUACUCGCUUGGUUGUGUCUGUACGUGGUGAUGAGCCCUAUGAAGAACUGGAAAUCCUGAAAGACAUAGAUGCUACAAUGAUUCUUCAUGAUCUACCAUUUACAGAAGAUAAAAUUGGUAGAGUGCAUGCAGCAAGGAGGUAAUAUGCAGACUCUGGAUUUUAAUGAUCAGUCAUUAUUGAAUCUGAAGACAAUGCUGAAGCAACUAGUCCAGAUAUGGGCCUUGACUGCCCAUGAAUGACUGCAGUUGCUUCAGGCAUCCCUGGUCUGAAGUGAAUAUUUAUAUGACAAAGUAUAAACAAUUUGCUUAUUGUGGCGAAACAGAGGAAAUCCAUUCUGUUUCUGAAUAUGGUCCGAGGCACCUUUGUCAGUGGAUUAACUAGGUGGACGGUCAUGGAUUUGAGUCAUGAAAACAGCCUCUCUGUGAAGAAGGGAGGCUCAUGAAUUGGAGAUGCUUUCUGUUAGCUAGAUCACAAUUAGGUCCAUACAUAGUGCUUAGGAUGAUCAUGGUAAAGCAUAUGCUGAAGCAGAAACUCUGACAUAAACAAAAUGAGUAAUCUCUGAAUUCUUGACCUUGAUAGUGCAUCUGGUAUCUUGUAUUAUUCUUUAGGGCAACAGUAUUUUUCAAUGCUUAAUGAACAUCUUUCCACAGUCCCUGACAGUUCUAAAAACUUUCUGCUGAUUGCAGGUUAUUUGAGUUUCUAUCAGACAAUGCUCUGAAUUUCCCUGUAAUUCACCAUAUUCAUUUUCCAAAUGCGAUUCACAGGGAUGACUUGGUCAUUGGCGCUGGUGCAAAUGCCGGGGCUCUUUUAGUAGAUGGUCUUGGAGAUGGUAUCCUGCUGGAAGCCCCAGACCAGGACUUUGAUUUUCUGAGGAAUACCUCUUUCAACUUGCUACAAGGUUGCAGAAUGAGAAAUACAAAGACGGAGUAUGUCUCAUGCCCAUCCUGUGGGAGAACUUUGUUCGACCUUCAAGAAAUAAGUGCAGAAAUUCGAGAAAAGACCUCUCACUUGCCUGGUGUCUCGGUAGAUAUCCAAUGCUUCUGUACCUUGAGUGGAUGAUGCUGAUUAGGCACCGCCUUAUUCUAAGACUAACGUCAUUUCUAUUUUUCCUUUCCCCCCUUUUAUAAUUGUCAGAUCGCAAUUAUGGGUUGCAUUGUAAAUGGACCAGGGGAGAUGGCUGAUGCAGAUUUUGGGUAUGUUGGUGGUGCUCCUGGAAAGAUUGACCUAUAUGUUGGAAAGGUAUUGCAUUCUAUCCUGCUUUGAAAUUCAUGUAGGUUGUAUCAAAUUAUGUUGUUUUUAAUCCAUCUCAACUAAAUUAAGGUUUUAGUUAGUGUCACAAACCUUGUGUAAGAAGUCAUGUUUCAUUGUUGUUGCUGGUCUACUAACAAUUGUCAAGUAGAAGGAUUACCACAAAGCAAUAGUGUGGAUCAGUUCCAUAAUUGAGUUCCACCCAGAGAACAUAGUCAUUGAGAAAAACAUUUCCACACCAUGCACUUGCAUAUAUGUUAUUGAAAAUGAAAACAAAUUACAUUUUUGUGUUAUGUCAAUUCAUGCAAACACCAGUUAGAUUUAGACAUCAGAUUGAUCAUCUAAUCAUGCAAAUUUUCCAGGCUCUAGUUCCUAGAACCUAGGUAACUUUCCUGCCUGGCACAGACAUAACUACUUGGUGCAUGUUUUUUUUUCUUGAUUGCACACUCUUUGUUUUGUUGCUAACCAAAUGUGUAUUUAAUUGUGAGUUGAACUGAUGGAAAGUUGGAUUCUGUUUCAGACUGUGGUAAAGCGUGGAAUCGCAAUGGAGGAAGCUACCGAUGCAUUGAUCCAGCUAAUCAAAGAUCAUGGCCGCUGGGUCGAUCCUCCUGCAGAAGAGUAAUAAUAUCAAGUAAUUCUAAUUUGGAUAUAGGAAGAAAGUGGCAGUAAAAGGGACGUCACAGUUUACAUAUUCUAUUAUACAUGUAAUGCAAAAGCCAGAAGUUGAAAUCUUAGAGAGUCUAGCUGCACCGUGUAGAAAUCUUUCC